rnacentral:rRNA from 1 species
GACGAACGCUGGCGGCGUGCUUAACACAUGCAAGUCGAACGGAAAAGCCCUGCUUUUGUGGGGUGCUCGAGUGGCGAACGGGUGAGUAACACGUGAGUAACCUGCCCUUGACUUUGGGAUAACUUCAGGAAACUGGGGCUAAUACCGGAUAGGAGCUCCUGCUGCAUGGUGGGGGUUGGAAAGUUUCGGCGGUUGGGGAUGGACUCGCGGCUUAUCAGCUUGUUGGUGGGGUAGUGGCUUACCAAGGCUUUGACGGGUAGCCGGCCUGAGAGGGUGACCGGCCACAUUGGGACUGAGAUACGGCCCAGACUCCUACGGGAGGCAGCAGUGGGGAAUAUUGCACAAUGGGCGGAAGCCUGAUGCAGCAACGCCGCGUGCGGGAUGACGGCCUUCGGGUUGUAAACCGCUUUCGCCUGUGACGAAGCGUGAGUGACGGUAAUGGGUAAAGAAGCAUCGGCUAACUACGUG